rnacentral:rRNA from 1 species
UGAUUAAACCAUAGUGUUAAUGCACUAGAUGCCAUUAGAACUCUGCAGUUAAGCACAUUCAGGCUAGAGUAAUACUGGGAUGAGUGACUGCCCAAGAAGUCCUAGUGUUUUGACAU